UAGGGAAUCUUCCGCAAUGGGCGAAAGCCUGACGGAGCAACGCCGCGUGAGUGAUGAAGGUCUUCGGACCGUAAAACUCUGUUAUUAGGGAAGAACAAAUGUGUAAGUAACUAUGCACGUCUUGACGGUACCUAAUCAGAAAGCCACGGCUAACUACGUGCCAGCAGCCGCGGUAAUACGUAGGUGGCAAGCGUUAUCCGGAAUUAUUGGGCGUAAAGCGCGCGUAGGCGGUUUUUUAAGUCUGAUGUGAAAGCCCACGGCUCAACCGUGGAGGGUCAUUUGAAACUGGAAAACUUGAGUGCAGAAGAGGAAAGUGGAAUUCCAUGUGUAGCGGUGAAAUGCGCAGAGCUAUGGAGGAACACCAGUGGCGAAGGAGACUUUCUGGUCUGUAACUGACGCUGAUGUGCGAAAGCGUGGGGAUCAAACAGG
rnacentral:rRNA from 1 species